CUACGGGAUGCUCCAGUGAGGAAUAUUGGACAAUGGUCGAAAGACUGAUCCAGCCAUGCCGCGUGCAGGAUGACUGCCCUAUGGGUUGUAAACUGCUUUUAUACGGGAAGAAAAACGCCUACGUGUAGGUGACUGACGGUACCGUAAGAAUAAGGACCGGCUAACUCCGUGCCAGCAGCCGCGGUAAUACGGAGGGUCCAAGCGUUAUCCGGAAUCAUUGGGUUUAAAGGGUCCGUAGGCGGGCUAUUAAGUCAGAGGUGAAAGUUUGCAGCUCAACUGUAAAAUUGCCUUUGAUACUGAUAGUCUUGAAUUGUAGUGAAGUGGUUAGAAUAUGUGGUGUAGCGGUGAAAUGCAUAGAUAUCACAUAGAAUACCGAUUGCGAAGGCAGAUCACUAACUAUAUAUUGACGCUGAGGGACGAAAGCGUGGGGAGCGAACGGGAUUAGACCCCCGUAGUC
rnacentral:rRNA from 1 species